rnacentral:rRNA from 1 species
GAUGAACGCUGGCGGCGUGCUUAACACAUGCAAGUCGAACGGUGAAGCAGGAGCUUGCUCUUGCGGAUCAGUGGCGAACGGGUGAGUAACACGUGAGCAACCUGCCCCUGACUCUGGGAUAAGCGCUGGAAACGGCGUCUAAUACUGGAUAUGUGAUGUGACCGCAUGGUCUGCAUCUGGAAAGAAUUUCGGUUGGGGAUGGGCUCGCGGCCUAUCAGCUUGUUGGGGAGGUAAUGGCUCACCAAGGCGUCGACGGGUAGCCGGCCUGGGAGGGUGAGCUGCAGAGCUGGGACUGGGACACGGCCCAGACUCCUACGGGAGGCAGCAGUGGAGAAUAUUGCACAAUGGGCGGAAGCCUGAUGCAGCAACGCCGCGUGAGGGAUGACGGCCUUCGGGUUGUAAACCUCUUUUAGCAGGGAAGAAGCGAAAGUGACGUUACCUGCAGAAAAAGCACCGGCUAACUACGUGCCAGCCGCCGCCGUAA